rnacentral:rRNA from 1 species
GAUGAACGCUGGCGGCGUGCCUAAAACAUGCAAGUCGAGCGGCAGCACGGUCUUCGGACUGGUGGCGAGCGGCGGACGGCUGAGUAACGCGUAGGAACAUACCCCAAAGUGAGGGAUAAGCACCAGAAAUGGUGUCUAAUACCGCAUGUGGUCUAAGGAUUAAAGCUUCGGCGCUUUGGGAAUGGCCUGCGUCUGAUUAGCUUGUUGGUGAGGUAAUGGCUCACCAAGGCGACGAUCAGUAGCUGGUCUGAGAGGAUGAUCAGCCAGACUGGGACUGAGACACGGCCCAGACUCCUACGGGAGGCAGCAGUGGGGAAUCUUGGACAAUGGGGGAAACCCUGAUCCAGCGAUGCCGCGUGUGUGAAGAAGGCCUUCGGGUUGUAAAGCACUUUAGGUGGGGAAGAAAGGUAAUGAGUGAAUAACUGAUUGCUUUGACGGUACCCGCAGAAUAAGCACCGGC